rnacentral:rRNA from 1 species
AUACGUAGGGGGCAAGCGUUGUCCGGAAUUACUGGGCGUAAAGCGCACGCAGGCUGACUUAUAAGUCGGUAGUCUAAUGCGGAGGCUCAACUUCCGUUUAUCUAUCGGUACUGUAAGACUAGAGUAUGUGAGAGGGAAGUGGAAUUCCCGGUGUAGCGGUGAAAUGCGUAGAUAUCGGGAGGAAAACCAGUGGCGAAGGCGACUUCCUGGCACAAUACUGACGCUCAUGUGCGAAAGCUAGGGUAGCGAACGGGAUUAGAUACCCCGGUAGUCCUAGCCGUAAACGAUGGAUACUAGGUGUGGGUGUCGCAGGGCAUCCGUGCCGCAGUUAACGCGUUAAGUAUCCCGCCUGGGGACUACGGUCGCAAGACUGAAAC